rnacentral:lncRNA from 13 species
CGGGAAGUUAGCUAACUAAAAACUAGCUGUUUCUUAUUUAUCAGCAAAUGACCAGCUGCAACAGGUCAGCCUAAAACCCCUUGCUAUUUGACCUCAUCAGCAAGCACCCCACAAUAGGUCACCAUUGCUUAAUUAGACAAGGGAGUUUUCAAAUGUAAUCUCUUUGCACUCAGCAGGCCCUGGGUCAAAUAGAAUCUGACUAACCUGCAGCUUGUGUUUACACAGCUUCCAACAGUUCAAAAAGCCAAGAGAAGAUCAGAAGCUUAUCUUCAAGCCAACUGGGGUGGUGGCAGGGUGGGGGUUGGUGGAAUUUGACAGAAGCUUGUAAUCAGCGACAUUGGAGGAUGAGGGGAAGGCCUGUCAUCUGUUUUGAAACGUGUUACAACAAGAUGUUACAUUUCUGGAAAUCUGGGUGCAGAAAAAGGUGGGCAGAUUCCAUUCUAGUGGUUUAAUUAAGAAGGAAAGUAAAGAUCUAACGUCAAGUCCAGCCCUGUUGUCUGGACCUCCUCUCUGGGGAAGCAGGGGCAGUGGCAGGGGAGGAUGGGGAGAAGACGAGGGCACUGGGAUGUGCCGGCCAGCGCGUGGCAGCUGUUCAUGGUGAAUCCUAUUCUAGCUCAUGGCCAUGUGUUCCAGCCCUUUUGGAAAAUUACCUCCAAAUAACAGAUCACGAAAGAGCAACUCCAGCAAGCCCUAUAAUUUAGUCCCCAGAGGAAAUUCUUCAUUCAUCAAGUGUACAGGAGGCUAAAUUAGUUCUAUACCCAAGUGGGCCCUGGUUGGCAAUUUUAUGUGAGGAUAAACCCUACCUUGGGGAAGACUCCAGCCAGAAGGGCUGGAGGCCAAGUACUGCCCGGUGUCCAGCUGGGUCAGACCACAUAUUGCACCACAGACUGGGGAGAGUUCCUGGGGAAUAUCUCUGGGAGUCAGUCUCUGUCACUUUUUUUUUCCAGAUGCACAUUUUUGAAAGUUUGUGGGGACUGAGUGAAUCUGCUUGCAUUUCAGCCCAAAGUUGCCGGAGUGUUCUUCAUCGGGGACAGAAUGAUUUGUCAGAAGUGCAAGAUGGGAUUGAACCUUUAAAUCUGGAAGCCAGCUCCACUGUUGGUGGCCAUUAAAACCUAAACAAAACAAAAAUUCCUUAGAAGACAUUUGAAGGAUGGUAUGUU